rnacentral:rRNA from 1 species
UGGGGAAUAUUGGACAAUGGGCGCAAGCCUGAUCCAGCCAUGCCGCGUGGAUGAUGAAGGCCUUAGGGUUGUAAAGUCCUAUUAACGGGGAAGAUAAUGACGGUACCCGUAGAAUAAGCCCCGGCUAACUUCGUGCCAGCAGCCGCGGUAAUACGAAGGGGGCUAGCGUUGCUCGGAAUUACUGGGCGUAAAGCGCACGUAGGCGGCUUCUUAAGUCGGUGGUGAAAUCCUGGAGCUCAACUCCAGAACUGCCUUCGAUACUGGGAAGCUCGAGUCCGGGAGAGGUGAGUGGAACUGCGAGUGUAGAGGUGAAAUUCGUAGAUAUUCGCAAGAACACCAGUGGCGAAGGCGGCUCACUGGCCCGGUACUGACGCUGAGGUGCGAAAGCGUGGGGAGCAAACA